rnacentral:sRNA from 1 species
CCUAGCACUUCGUACUAGGCUGUGUUAUGCCGUACCUCCGGUACU